GAGUUUGAUUAUGGCUCAGAUUGAACGCUGGCGGCAGGCCUAACACAUGCAAGUCGAACGGUAACAUUUCUAGCUUGCUAGAAGAUGACGAGUGGCGGACGGGUGAGUAAUGCUUGGGAACUUGCCUUUGCGAGGGGGAUAACAGUUGGAAACGACUGCUAAUACCGCAUAAUGUCUUCGGACCAAACGGGGCUUCGGCUCCGGCGCAAAGAGAGGCCCAAGUGAGAUUAGCUAGUUGGUAAGGUAACGGCUUACCAAGGCGACGAUCUCUAGCUGUUCUGAGAGGAAGAUCAGCCACACUGGGACUGAGACACGGCCCAGACUCCUACGGGAGGCAGCAGUGGGGAAUAUUGCACAAUGGGGGAAACCCUGAUGCAGCCAUGCCGCGUGUGUGAAGAAGGCCUUCGGGUUGUAAAGCACUUUCAGUUGUGAGGAAAAGUUAGUAGUUAAUACCUGCUAGCCGUGACGUUAACAACAGAAGAAGCACCGGCUAACUCCGUGCCAGCAGCCGCGGUAAUACGGAGGGUGCGAGCGUUAAUCGGAAUUACUGGGCGUAAAGCGCACGCAGCGGUUUGUUAAGCUAGAUGUGAAAGCCC
rnacentral:rRNA from 1 species